GGCAAAGAUGAAGAGUGCUAUUUUCUGACACCUCUUGUAUGAGAGGAGCUUUCUAGCUCUUCGUUGAGCACAUUAAGCAACUCUCUGAGCC